rnacentral:RNase_P_RNA from 1 species
AGCAUACUCAAGGCUGCCUUUGUUCGCCCCGUACAAGACCUAUCCAAGUCUUCCAUCGCGAACGGGCCAAGGUCUGACUAUCCCAGUCCUCCUCGAUUGGUUCUUGACGUACCUGGUGGUAAAACCACCAAGCGACAGACCAGCAAUCGGCCUGAUCGUGCACCUUCCAAGGAACUUUACCUUCGGGGAAGGGAGGACAGCACGUAAUGGUUUUGAAAAGUGUCGCGAGGACGGGGCGCUAUGUUUCCCAUCAUCCGCCGCCGCAGUUGUCUCUAUCGACAUGAAUCGCGUGCUUGCAUGCCCAGAAGGAUAGUGUCCAAAAACCCCAUCUUUCUCGGUAAAAGGCCCACCUCUGCCUUCGUCCACCCUAGUUCUGCCUCGGACCUCGGACCUUCACACCCGUUGGUUUUCCGACCACAAUUAAGGUGCAUGUACGAGGAGAUCAUGCCGCUGCAGUAGUGGAAGAACGUAGUGUCCUUGAGUUCACUUCGCAGCUCGUUAUUCUUUGGAUAGCGAAACUCGAUUCAGACUAUUCUUUGUCUGCU